rnacentral:rRNA from 1 species
GCUUCUAACCUCUAAUAUCUAAAUCGUUAGUGGCGGACGGUGAGUAACACGUUGGAACCUGCCCCAAAGUAAGGGAUAAGCCACCGAAAGGUGGUCUAAUACCUUAUAGUAUCCAUCUCGUAUGGAUUAAAGCUUUAUGCGCUUUGGGAGGGGCCUGCGUUUGAUUAGCUAGUUGGUGAGGUAAAAGCUCACCAAGGCGACGAUCAAUAGCUGGUUUGAGAGGAUGACCAGCCACACUGGGACUGAGAUACGGCCCAGACUCCUACGGGAGGCAGCAGUAAGGAAUCUUCCACAAUGGGGCAACCCUGAUGGAGCAAUACCGCGUGCAGGAUGAAGCGUUUCGGCGUGUAAACUGCUUUUAUCACCGAAGAUUAUGACUGUAGGUGAAGAAUAAGGACCGGCUAACUACGUG